rnacentral:tRNA from 1 species
GGUCAUGUAGUGUAGUGGUUAUCGUAAGUUCUUUCGCCGAAGCCGAGGAGGUCCCCUGUUCGAUCCAGGGUAUGGCCA